UGGGAUUACAGGUGCCUGCCACCACGCCUGGCUAAUUUUUGUAUUUGUAGUAGAGAUGGGGUUUUGCCAUUUUGGCCAGACUGGUUUCGAUCUCCUGACCUCAGGUGAUUCGCCCACCUCGGCCUCCCAAAGUGCUGGGAUUACAGGCGUGAGCCACCGCGCCCAGCCUUUUUUGUUAUUUUUAAAUUUGAGAGGACAAACUAGAGGACUAAUUUGAGAUUUUCUAGGUUUUUCCCUGUAAUAUAGACAUUAGUAUUUGCUGAUUUUAGUCUGAUUUUCCAAAAUUGCAACUUAGAAUAAAUUUACUAUUUAAAAUAGAAUAUUUGGAGGUUUCUUAUUACAUUUAUGUCUGUUUCUUUAAAUAUCUCAAUCUAGUUAGGUAUAAAAGUAAAUAUUUUCUUAUUUAACGUAUUACUUCUUGUAGGAAACUUUGAGGGAAAUUUUGAGUCACUGGACCUUGCGGAAUUUGCUAAGAAGCAGCCAUGGUGGCGUAAGCUGUUCGGGCAGGAAUCUGGACCUUCAGCAGAAAAGUAUAGCGUGGCAACCCAGCUGUUCAUUGGAGGUGUCACUGGAUGCUUGCAAACCAUACUGGGUACAUCAAAGUUGACUGGCAACGAGUGGAGAAGGACAUGAAGAAAGCCAAAGAGCAGCUGAAGAUCCGUAAGAGCAAUCAGAUACCUACUGAGGUCAGGAGCAAAGCUGAGGAGGUGGUGUCAUUUGUGAAGA
rnacentral:lncRNA from 1 species